rnacentral:lncRNA from 1 species
CGGGGGGCAGAUAAGGGAAUAAAAGCAGGCUGCUGGAGCCAGCAGUGGCAACGUGCUGAGGUCAUGUUGUACACUGUGGAGGCUUUGUGCUUUUGCUUGUUGAAAUAACUCUUGCUGUUGCCCACUGUUUGGGUCCACACUGACUUUAUGAGCUGUAGCACUCACCAUGAAGGUCUGCAGCUUCACUCCUGAGACCAACAAGACCACGAACCCUCCAGGAGGAAUAAACAACUCUCCAGACGCGGCCAGACGUGCCAUCUUAAGAGUUGUAACACUCACUGCAAAGGUCUGCGGCUUCACUCUUGAAGCCAGUAAGACCACGAACCCACCAGAAAGAAGAAACUCUGAACACGUCCGAACAUCAGAAAGAACAGACUGCGGACACCCCAUCUUUAAGAACUGUAACACUCACUGCGAGGGUCUGUGGCUUCAUUCUUGAAGAGUCAAUCAGACCAACAACCCACCAAUUUCGGACACAAUUAUACAUGGCUGUCUGUAUGAGGAACUUAGAGAUGAAGAGGAAACUCACCCGAGUUCACUCAGUUAAUAAACAGGAAACAUAUCCUACUCCUAAACCAUCCACUCCGCCCUCUGCUUCUGGACAGAGAUCUUUCAUGAGUGUUGGUUGGUGACAAGAACAUGAAACUACAUAGUUUGGAAAAUUUUCAGGU